ACAGCAGUAGCGCGGGAAUACGGAGGGAGCUAGCGUUGUUCGGAAUUACUGGGCGUAAAGCGCGCGUAGGCGGUUACUCAAGUCAGAGGUGAAAGCCCGGGGCUCAACCCCGGAACUGCCUUUGAAACUAGGUGACUAGAAUCUUGGAGAGGUCAGUGGAAUUCCGAGUGUAGAGGUGAAAUUCGUAGAUAUUCGGAAGAACACCAGUGGCGAAGGCGACUGACUGGACAAGUAUUGACGCUGAGGUGCGAAAGCGUGGGGAGCAAACAGGAUUAGAUACCCGAGUAGUCCCUGUCUCUUAUACA
rnacentral:rRNA from 1 species